GACGUAGGUGACGAACGUUAUCCGGAAUUAUUGGGCGUAAAGGGUGCGUAGAUGGCCUGAUAAGUUAGCAGUGGGAAAUCGAGGCUCAACCCCGUGGAAGCUGGUAAUACUGUCAGGCUCGAGUGCAGGAGAGGUUAACGGAACUCCAUGUGGAGCGGUAAAAUGUGUAGAUAUAUGGAAGAACACCAAUAACGGCGAAGGCAGUUAACUAUUCUGUUACUGACAUUGAGGC
rnacentral:rRNA from 1 species